UACGAAGGGGGCUAGCGUUACUCGGAAUUACUGGGCGUAAAGGGCGCGUAGGCGGCGCUCCAAGUUAGGCGUGAAAGUCCUGGGCUCAACCUGGGAAGUGCUUUUGAUACUGCAAAUCUUGAAUGUGGGAGAGGAUGGUGGAAUUCCUGGUGUAGUGGUGAAAUACGUAGAUAUCAGGAGGAACUCCGGUGGCGAAGGCGGCCAUCUGGCCCAACAUUGACACUGAGACCCGAAAGCGUGGGGAUCAAACAGG
rnacentral:rRNA from 1 species